rnacentral:pre_miRNA from 1 species
UGCGGGGGGGUGCGCAUCUCUCAGCCUGGAUUUUGAGAGGGCACAGGCCAGGCUGAGGGACGCCACCGGUGCAUG